CGGCGGAGCCAGUGACGACGGCAUUGCGUGCAAAGUUUCCCGACGUUAUUUUAAUUAUUAUCUUCGAACAUUCUACUCGCCCCCUUUCGUCAGCUAUGUAUUUAUUAUUUUUCUUUACGUUAUUGUAUAGAACUUCGACUAGUACACUACGAACACACUGCGGGUGGGCGUCUAAAAGAAAAAGAGGAAGUCCACGAGAGACAAAGACGACGACAGAAUGUGAGCG